UCAAACUUGGUCAUUUAGAGGAAGUAAAAGUCGUAACAAGGUUUCCGUAGGUGAACCUGCGGAAGGAUCAUUACUGAAUCACACUGUGCACCUUGUUGUAGUUGACCAUUCAAUGGCCGGCCAUAAGCAUCUGAUGAUGAUGAUCGGCUUGGCUCAUUGUCAAGUUGGAUUGGAUGCCAGAUGAUGUUGUGGCAGGCCCUUGGUCUCCUAUGCCUCACCCACCACACACAAACCUGUCAUAGUAUGGUGUUGAACUUAAACAACUAAUAUAACUUUCAACAACGGAUCUCUUGGCUCUCGCAUCGAUGAAGAACGCAGC
rnacentral:misc_RNA from 1 species